rnacentral:rRNA from 1 species
CGCACGGGUGAGUAACACGUAUCCAACCUGCCGUCUACUCUUGGACAGCCUUCUGAAGGAAGAUUAAUACAAGAUGGCAUCAUGAGUCCGCAUGUUCACAUGAUUAAAGGUAUUCCGGUAGACGAUGGGGAUGCGUUCCAUUAGAUAGUAGGCGGGGUAACGGCCCACCUAGUCUUCGAUGGAUAGGGGUUCUGAGAGGAAGGUCCCCCACAUUGGAACUGAGACACGGUCCAA